UACGUAGGGGGCUAGCGUUGCCCGGAAUCAUUGGGCGUAAAGCGCGUGUAGGCGGUCCGGUAAGUCCGCUGUGAAAGUCGGGGGCUCAACCCUCGAAUGCCGGUGGAUACUGUCGGGCUAGAGUGCGGAAGAGGCGAGUGGAAUUCCUGGUGUAGCGGUGAAAUGCGCAGAUAUCAGGAGGAACACCUAUUGCGAAGGCAGCUCGCUGGGACGUAACUGACGCUGAGACGCGAAAGCGUGGGGAGCGAACAGG
rnacentral:rRNA from 1 species